AAAAAACAAAUGAUCUCUUGUCUCAUCCCUUUCCCCACAUAGCUCACAACCUUGGAUCAUCCCCCAUUGCCUCAUGCGAUCACCAGUAGAUAGCCUAUUUUUUAUAGCUAGCCAGGUGAUGAAAGAGUAGUGUGGCACUCCUUGUGGAAACCACACCACUCUGUGCCAGUCUACUUUAGUGCGCUUUGUUCUAAGCUGAUCCCAC
rnacentral:lncRNA from 1 species